rnacentral:lncRNA from 1 species
CAGGCAGGCUUAUUACAGGUAAAGGUGUUCUUUUCAGCACCAUUUCUUUGAAAUAUUGAAAAGGGCUCAUGGGCCACCUUGACUACUUUUGAACACCUCUAGGGGCUUGGGAAACUUCUGCUUUAGUCCCUGCACUUGUGCUCCCACCCCAAACCUUGGUGCUUUCCUAGGUCUCCUGCUGUGUAGAGCCUGUGGGGUACUUAAACAGGUGACAGGAAACCCAGGACAGGACCAGGUCUGAAACUCUGGGCUAAUUCCAUAUCCACUAUGAAUCCAUAUGAGACAGAAUUCUCUUGGUAAUAACAGGCCCUUCAGAUGAUCCCAGCAACCCACUCCUGUGGGCGAGUAGGCAUUUUCUGCCAAGGCCCUAGAGUCAAUAUCCCUGGGACCAUUUGUAUGACUUGGGAGCCUUGAAUGUGAGUGUUUGGGCCAUACUGGGCUAGCCUUGCUGAUACACAGGAGCUUUUCUGGGAAUGGGUAGAGCAGUGAAAGUCACCUGAGAUGCUGGAGAGGGUGUGAUGUGCAGCAAGAGGGGGCUCUAAACUCUCGCCAAAUGGUGGUGACCUGGAAGGGAAGCAUGAGAGGGGCUCAUCGUGACCUUGUUACUGAGUGCCUAGAGCACAGGGCACUGCCCAGGGGUUGGGCAGGAGAGGACUCAGAUGAAGGCAGCACCCUUGAGGCUCCAGGGCCACGGGCAGUUGGCUCCUGAGAGACACUCUUUGAAGAGGGCUUCACAAUGAAUCAGGAGAAGAACCAAGGAAUAGAAGGGUUUAUAAAGAGCAAUAAGGAAAAUGGCUGAAGCCUAGCCAAGGCUUAAUUCUGUGCAAAGAACUGACUGAAUUGUAGUUACUGGCAUUUGUGUAGUACAGAAUUUAAUCUUGGCUAAGCACAGUGUCUCACGCCUGUAAUCCCAGCACUUUGGGAGGCUGAGGCUAGCAGAUUUCUUGAGCCCAGCCUGGGCAACAUGGUAAAACCCCAUCUCUACAAAAUAAUAACAACAAAAAGAAUUUAAUCUUGUCCCCAAAAGAUCUGGCCUUCAUCCUUAACACGUAGGGGGCGAUCUGUAAGAUACCAUACCUGAUGGGAAUGUCUUUGUUUGGCUGGAAGCUUUAAUGCACACCAACAAUGUGAUUUAGGGUGAGGAAUGGCCAUACCAAGUAGACCAGCCAUGUGAUUUCAGGUGAGAGCCUAGCCCGGGCAACAUAGCAAGACCCCAUCUCUACAAAAAUGAAAAAAUAAAAGUAAAAAAAUUAGCCAGAUGUGGUGGCACACACCUGUUGUCCCAGCUCCUCAGGAGGUUGAGGCAGAAGGAUAGCUUGAGCCCAGGAGUUUGAGACUGCAGUGAGCUAUAAUCAUGCCACUGCCCACCAGCCUGGGUGGCAGAGUGAGACCAUCUCAAAAAACUAAAAAAUAAAAUAAGGUGGGGGCUUGGAUCAUGCCUGGAGGAGCUGGAGACUGGAGCCUGAGAUCAGUCCUAUGGGCAUUCAAAUAAGUCAGUCAUGCUCUCAGGGUGGAGCUCCAAUGAGAAUUCUGAAUACGGAGGCUCCGGUGAGCAUUCCUGAUUGGGUGUUCUGUGUGUGUUGCCAUACAGCAAUGCCAGGAGAGUAACACAUCCUGACUCCACGGAGAGAGAAGAAUGGAAACUCUGCGUUUGGACCCUCCUGAUGUUAACCUAUGCUGUUUCCCUGUGAUAACCAGCAAUCUUAAGCACAACCACUUUCAGUGAGCUCUGGGAGUCCUAGGCAGUUAUUGCAUCUUGGGUGGUUUGGGGAACCCCAGUCUUGCAGUUGGUGUCAGAAGUGAGUGCAUCUCGUGUAGACAGUGCGCUGUAAUUUAGCAGUGCGUUUUCAGUAGAAUAGACAUGUUUCUUGGGGGGUCUCUUACAUGCCCGUCUCUCUUUUGUUUUGUAGUGUUCCACUGGCAGGCCACCAUCAUGGGCCCGAAUGACAGUCCUUACCAAGGAGGUGUUUUCUUCCUGACCAUCCACUUUCCUACAGAUUACCCGUUCAAGCCCCCAAAGGUGAGGUCCCUCUCCCAACUCCCCUGAUGUUUGGAUGAAGGACAGCAUGUGACAAGGGGCCCUUCAAGUCAGGUAUAGGUAAAAAGAGCUGUACGUGGGGUUUCUCUGAGGGCCCACUGCUCCACCCUGUGGUGACAGUUUCCCAGGACUUUAAUUACUGGACUUUGAGAAUUAGCACCUGUUGUGAUCAAGGGUCAGUGGGGUGAGCUGGUGCUGGCCUUACUGAGGCCACAGUUUGAAUGCUUCUCCUUGUGACUGUAGCUGAGUCUGGUCAUGUCUCCAGGCUCUGGCUCCCUUCUCUGCAGUCCCUUAGAGUUAGGACAGGGGUUCUCAGCUGGGGUGAUUUUGCUACUGCCCCAGGGACAUUUGAGCAACAUCUUAGGAUAUUUUGGGUUAUCAAAACUGUGGUGAGGGAGUACUACUGGUAUCUAGUCGGCAAAGGCCAGGGUAUUCCAGGGAUUCCCUGCAGUGCACAGGAGAGCCACCCUUCCCAUGACAGAUAAUGAUCAGCCCCAAGUGUCAAUAGUGCCAAGGUGGACACACCCUGGUUUAGGACUGGUGAGUCACACCUUCACUUUUCUUUAUUAAGUUAAAAGAAUAGCAAGCCUCCUUUGCCCUUCAUGCACACACCAUCCCAUCAGUGGAGCUUUAGAGGGCAGUGCCACCAAAGGGAAGGAGAAGCCCAGGGAGCUGCCUCGACCACCCUGCCCUAGCAUGUCUUGUGCACCGCAGGUCGUCUCACUCCCUGGACCCUUGGACCUCAUACUCCUUCUCACCUGGGCUCUGCAUGGGUGGCCGAGCCUGCCCUGAGGCUCAUAGUCCUGUGGAGGAGACAGGGCAUUUAGCAUGUGAGCUACUCAGCACUGGGAAGGAGCACAAGCAGUGGUUGGCAGCAGGAGCCAGGGUGGUGGAGAGAUUGCCCUGAGAAAGGGGAACUGCAGGAGCUCAGCAAGAGGGCGGACAGGUCCCCAGGAAACUGCCCCAGGGGAGUGAGCCUGUGAGGAGUUGGGAAGGAGGCCAGAGGGGUACGGAUGGCCCCAGGAGUAGGGUCUGCACGCCGUUGUGGGGAUCGCCACACCGACACAAUCACUCUGCUGCCUUGUGGAGAAGAGGCUGGGGUUCAAGUGAUUCUCCUGCUUCAGCCUCCUGAGUAGCUGGGACUACAGGCACUCGCCACCACACGUGGCUAAUUUUUGUGUUAUUUUUAGUAGAGACAGGGUUUCACAAUGUUGGCCAAGCUGGUCUCGAACUCCUGGCCUUAGGUGAUCCACCCACCUCCGCCUCCCAAAGUGCUGGGAUUCCAAGUGUGAGCCACCACGCUUGGCCAGGUUGUGCAUUUUGUCAAGACUUACUCGAAAGUCCUGCAUCUGCAUCAGACCCCUUAGCUGAGGGGUUGUGAUAUUGCUGUGUCUUACUACCUUGACUUGGCCUUGAUGCCUCAAUUUGAGUCAGAGGCUUAGCUGCUGUUUUGCAUGUUGUUUAUCUGAGUCAAUGUGAAG